rnacentral:rRNA from 1 species
UGGGGAAUAUUGGACAAUGGGGGAAACCCUGAUCCAGCCAUGCCGCGUGUGUGAAGAAGGCCUUAUGGUUGUAAAGCACUUUAAGCGAGGAGGAGGCUACUGAGACUAAUACUCUUGGAUAGUGGACGUUACUCGCAGAAUAAGCACCGGCUAACUCUGUGCCAGCAGCCGCGGUAAUACAGAGGGUGCGAGCGUUAAUCGGAUUUACUGGGCGUAAAGCGUGCGUAGGCGGCUUUUUAAGUCGGAUGUGAAAUCCCCGAGNUUAACUUGGGAAUUGCAUUCGAUACUGGGAAGCUAGAGUAUGGGAGAGGAUGGUAGAAUUCCAGGUGUAGCGGUGAAAUGCGUAGAGAUCUGGAGGAAUACCGAUGGCGAAGGCAGCCAUCUGGCCUAAUACUGACGCUGAGGUACGAAAGCAUGGGGAGCAAACAGGAUUAGAUACCCUGGUAGUCCAUGCCGUAAACGAUGUCUACUAGCCGUUGGGGCCUUUGAGGCUUAGUGGCGCAGCUAACGCGAUAAGUAGACCGCCUGGGGAGUACGUCGCAAGACUAAAACUU